rnacentral:lncRNA from 1 species
AGAUCAUGCAAGCAUCAUGGACUUCAUUGCUGAUUCCAUAUGCAAAUUUGUAGUUUGUAAUGGUAUUCUAUCUUGGAAUGUAAAUUUUAUGGGGAAUGCUUCAAGAAGCUUAUCCUACUACCUAGCGUGAUCUCUCAGUCUUCCUUUUAAUCUGCUAAAUGAUGAAGCAAGAUGUUUUACAGGGGAUUUUCAUGUUGUCUUGAACGUUAAAUAUAUCUAUGCUUUGUUCACUCAAUAGGUGUUUAAAUUCCUCCGGUUUCUACAAUGUUACUAAUGAAAUGUUAAACAUUUUUUAUGAAACGACUUUGCAGUUAACUGAUUACAUCAAUGUAUCAAUUAGAUCAUGCUUUUGAUUUUGAUGUCAUGCACAUUCCCUUCAAUUUAUGUGAUUUGUAUUUUGCUUGAGCCACUGGGCAUGGGUUCCAGUUCUUAAGAUUUAAAGUUGCAGGUGCGGGAGGAAGGCUUAUUUCCACCUUGAAAUAAUGGGAUAAACUGAAAUGCAAUCAUUACCGUGUUCCACUCAAAAUAUUACUCAACUAGUCUUUUCUUUGUACUUGGAAAAUGUUGGGAAUCACUAGAACGAACAUCACGGUAUACAAUUUAAAAUGUUUUUGAAAAACUGAGGGGAAAACUCAGGUUCGGAGCUGGUUAUAUUUUAUUUUGAGGUUGGGAUAUAUGUGUUUGAACUGUAAAGUUCAUAAAAAUAAAUUUUUCUAUAGGAUUACGUAUUCUUCAAUCUCUUUAAAUAGAUUUUUCAAUCCAAAUUUCCACUCUUUUAUCAUACUCCCUGUAUCACAUCUUAUUGAACUACUUUUUUUAAUAUCUAAAAAAUAAUGAAUUUGUAAUUUAUAAUAUAUAUAUAUAUAUUUAAAAUUAUUACAACCACACAUUCAUAUACAACACUUCUUGAAUGUUCAUUAUCACUUUCUAUAAUUGAAAUGAAAAUAAGUGAUUCAUUAUUUUAAAAAUGUGUUAGUUAUAUCAACUCGUAUAAAAUGGAAAAAAAAUGAGUAAUCCGGUGAAUAUAAGAAGUUAAUUUCUAAACUAUAAUUUUUAAAAUUUAUUUUAAAUGGAUAACUUAGCUAUCAUGAUUUAAAAUUCGUGUACACUUGUAUAAUUAUUAUAUAAACAUGUAAAAAAAAAGAAAAGAAAACCACUGAUAAAAGAAAGUAAAAAGUAAACUUGAGUGAGAGAAAUGUAAAUAAGAACAAAGUCUAAUGACAAAAUGUGCUAGACUGCUAGUGUCUCGUGCUAGUUUAAUGCCCUAUUGCCCUGAUAGAAAAUAAUUGGUAGCUUUGUUUUCCGUGCUUUCACCUCCUCUCUCUCUCAUCUUAACUCCUUUUUGAUUCUGCUAAAUCGAUCUCUUACACACCCCAUCUCAACUGCACGGCGAUUCCAUGACGCUUGGCUCAGGAGGAUCCAGUGUCGUCGGUAACUUCUUAUCACUUCUCAACCACUCUGUGUUGUCUUGUGUGUGUCUCUAUGUUUGCCUCAAUCAUCAGCUCGAUGCUUUAUUUUGACUUGCGCAGUUAGUUUUGCUGCUGCUUUUGAAUCAAUAAAUGAUAGUAUUGUUUUUAAUUCCGUCGUAAGGGUAAUUUUAUUGUUUACAUCGUUUCGAUGAGUACCGUGUUAGUUAAUUACUUUUUAUUUGAUCAAUUGGCAACUGUUUUGGUAUAUUCUUUAUGGAAAUUAGUCGAUUCUUGUAUUUUUUUUUUGCGGUUAAUAGUUUACUUGGUGUGUUUUGUGUUGAAUACUUGUGAAUUGUGAUGUAGUUGCGUAUGCUUGAUUGAAGUUUAACAAUGCUAUGGAAAAAUAAAAGGAGAAGGUGUCUUUGCAGAUUUUUAACACUGAUAGAUGAUAAAAAAAUAUAUUUGCUGCUAGCUCAGAUGAUUUGGUGGAUAAUGUACACUUGUUACUUGAUCCUACUGUUGUUUAUUAAGCAGUUGCUAUAAACAAUUGUAUAUAGUGUUGGUCUGAUUUUGACAUUUUUUAUUUGAAUAUUUUCAAUCUCAUGUUUCUUCUCCUGUACAGUACCUCGGAAUUUUAGAUUGCUGGAGGAGCUUGAACGUGGGGAGAAGGGUAUUGGAGAUGGUACAGUGAGUUACGGAAUGGAUGACGGAGAUGACAUUUAUAUGCGCUCUUGGACAGGGACCAUCAUUGGUCCUCAUAACGUGGGCCUAAUUUUUUUUAUAACUAUGCUUUAUGUGUUUUUUUUGCUUAUUUUAUAUCUGAUAAAUCAAUAGUACCACUCAUAUGUGUUCCAAGCACUAAAAAACCCUUCACGACCUACCAAAAAACUCAUAUCCUACCAAGUUCCUAGCAACCGAGAGUCUCUGACAUGCCUAAUACUCGUUUUCUAAAUUUCAGAGCAAAGUACUAUCUACUUUUUUAAUUCUGAGUUGUGGUCAUAUCUGUGUAUUAAUUGAAAGAAGUGCUACCUAGAAGAGUGCCAAAUUUAGAGAUCCAAAUUACUAUAGUUCUCCCUUUGUUAGUCAUCAUAGUCUCUCCCCCUUUUGCUAAAACAUCUUUGUUGCAGACCUGGUCUCUCGUGUCUCUGAAGAAAAUAGGAGAAUGAGAGGCAAAUAAUAGUUUCACCGAUUUAAAACAGGCUCCCUUGGUAUAAUGGUGAUAUUAUGUGUGCAGGAAUCAAACACUUUAUGCAAAAUUAAUUUUUGGUAGCCUGAUGAAAUUAGGUAAUAUGCCAAUUCGAGGGGAGUUGACAGUGUGCCCUGCUGACAUAUUUUUUAAAAUUAGAGUACCUUUACCCUGAGCUACACUGUGUUGGUUGGAGUUCUGGUAGGAAUAAAGCAUGUGUAUUACCAGUGGAAUUUAGAAGGAAGCAAGUAUUCCAUUUGGAGGACCUCUUAUGUUUUAUUAAUAAUGUUAUAGUUUCUUCCAUUGCUGCUUUAAUUGCUCAAUGAAAUUUAGGACAUUUGACCUUAUCUGAGACGAAAUAAUAGUUUUGAUUUGCCUCAUUUUACACUAAUUUAAUAAAUUUUCCAUUUGGUGAUAUGGAACUAGCCUAGACCUGGCUAUGAAAAAUGUGUCAUUAGAAGUCACCGUAAAAAUGCAAAUAAUGGGUGUAAAUAAUUAAAUAUGGUAAGUCAACAAAUACUUAACCUGAUGAUUUCUUAAUUAGAUAUAGAUAUAGAUAUAGACACACACACACACACACAUAUGUAUAUAUGCUGUUCGUAAAAGACCCGUAAUAUUGAUUUAUUACAGGUGUCAUUUUAAACAUGAUUUCUCUUACCCUUGUGUUCAUAUGUAUUCUUUCUCAUUUUUCGCAGUCUGUACAUGAAGGUCGUAUUUAUCAGUUGAAGCUUUUCUGUGACAAAGAUUACCCUGAGAAGCAACCUACCGUUCGCUUCCAUUCACGGAUCAACAUGACUUGCGUGAACCAUGAAACCGGAGUGGUACAAAACUAUUCUAAUUGAUCUUAUGUGCAGUUGACUAAGAUUAAAAUUCCUACAUUAUGAAGCAUUGAAUCCAUGAUUGUGAAUGUGUAGCUAUGUUAUUAGUAAAUCAUAUGAUAUGGGUUAAAAUAACAGCCCAUAAAUAUAUUGUUAAUAAAAGUAGCCCAAAGGCAGAAAGCCCACUUGUUAAGGCCCGGUCUUAGAUUUUUAAAUUAAUUUCGUAAUUAGUUAAUGUUAUAAAAAGGCAUGCCAGGUUUUCUACAAUCAGCAUUGUGGAUUACCAACGCCCAUGGCCAGAAUCGUGAGUUACUAACGUUUGUAGCCCAACUUCGUGGGCAGCCCAAUCAAAGUGGUACAAAACCACAGAAGAUUUCAAGAAGGAUCCAGAAUUUAUCUCCUAGAGUUCUGGAUAAUUACAAACUCUAAUGGAUAAUCUCCAAACUCUAAACCUAUUCUAUCUCUGCCCCUCAAUCUAGAACUACGUUUUUCACUUGAUCCUUUAGGAACGUGAAGGUACAUGGGCAUCUCGGAAAUACUGUUCGAGUUCCUGAAGUAUGAGACCAGCCAUAAAAGCUUGACGCUCACCUUUGGCAACCCUAGGGCAGCAANGCAGCCAUAAAAGCUUGACGNAUACUGUUCGAGUUCCUGAAGUAUGAGAGCAGCCAUAAAAGCUUGACGCUCACCUUUGGCAACCCUAGGGCAGCAACUGAUUGUUAUCUAUAACAUCAUGAUUAGUACUCUAGAUUCAUUCUACAUUUUUGUUAAAUUUAUGUACAGAAUGUAUCAUUUUGCAAUUAUGUUCUUAAAUUUGAGCAAUUGAAAUUUGUUUACUUGUAAAACUAUAGGUUGAAUCGAAGAAGUUUGGAAUACUGUCAAACUGGCAAAGAGAAUACACCAUGGAAGAUAUAUUGACUCAGCUGAAGAAAGACAUCGCUGCACCGCACAAUCGUAAGCUGGUCCAGCCUCCAGAAGGUACCUAUUUCUAGUCCAAGAUCAUCAAGGCAUCAUGGACUUGAUUGCUGAUUCCAUAUGCAAAUUUGUAGUUUGUAAUUGGUAUUCCAUCUUGGAAUGUAAAUGUUAUGGGGAAUGCUUUGAGAAGCUUAUCCUACUACCUAGCUUGAUAUCUGUCUUCCUUUUAAUCUGCUAAACGAUGAAGCCAGAUGUUUUACAGGGGAUUUUCAUGUUGACUUGAACAUUAAAUAUAUCCUAUCUUUGUUUCCUUAUGACGGGGGGG